AACAAUGGAUGGUCUAAGGCAACCAUUAACAAAAUUUAAAACACUAAACUACACAUAAAACAACAAGCAAAUGCAUCUUAUUCCAUAAUACAUCAAUGUUCAAUGCUCUUUAAUACAAUUAGGAUCAUAGCAUAAUCAAGCUCAAAACAUGUCGCAUUUAAGCUUUAUCACACCAUCAAAAGCAAUUAUACCAACAGCAUAAGCACUAUCUCAAUGAUAAUUUUUAUUACCAACCACCCACUCUUUUCCAAUCAUGUUGGUCAUAACUUAGAUAGAAACCUAGAGGAUCUAAAAUCCAAUAAACAUCAUUUUGUGAGGUAUCACGAGUUUUAUCAUAAGCAACAAAUGUAGCCUUCUUACCCUUCCAUGUUGCAUCACACUUGUAUAUAGCAAAAAUGGCAACAGUUAAGGUUUUGGUUCCUCCAGGUGGAAGGUCAAAUCCCACAUAUCUAUUUGGAGUUAGUAUAUCACAAAUAAUAUUGGCUGAACUUUCACCUCGAGGUAAUCCAACUUGGAUGGAAACUUGAACCGUUGGAACUGCUUUGAUGUUAUCAAUGGGUUGGACCCUAGCAUCAGCUACAUGAUUAUAGAGACAUGUUGCAAGACCAAGGAUUAGGGCAACAUAGUUUAAGGUUGACAUUCUCAAAUUUUGAGGGGAAGAGACUUGUGAUAUACACAUACCCUCUCCACAUUUAAAUAUAAGUUUGUGUAACAAUGAUCCUCUCUUACAUUAAAUUUGGUCAAAGGAAAUACAUUAACAAAUGUACUUGGUUGUGAUCAUCUUUUCGUAGUGGCGAAUUUUGACCUAAAGUUUAGGAGGGACAAAAAUAUUUAAUUAUAAUUUAUAAUUAAGGAUAAUUGACUAAUAAAAAAUAUAAAUAAUUAUUUUAAAAUUUCAAAAUAAAAUAUAAAUUCUAAAUAAAAAAUGAACUAAAAAAAUAUUUGAAAAAAAAGUAAAAACAAAUUUAAAUAGAAAUUGAAAAACAAAUCUGCGGGGAGGGUUAGCCUCAACUAAGCUUCCCCGGUGCUCUUUGGUAUUUGACAAUUUAGUAUUGAGUCCAAAUUAUAUAACUACAUUUAACAAAAAAUCUAAGAAUCUAUAUUUUUUCAAUACUUUUAAAUUAAAUAAAUUAAAACAUUUUUUGCUUUCAUUCCAGUACUGGAGGGCUGGAGAGGAUCUGAUUUUCUGCGGUACUAGAAAGGCACAUAUUUGUUUUUCCUUUUAUUUUUAAUAAAAAAAAGUAUUAUUUAUAAAAAUGAUAUUUCAUAUUUAUUUUUUGUUUGCCUAUCCCGUUGAAAAUUCUUAGUCAAGUUUGGUGAGAAGCAUCAGUUGCGUUUUCCAAAGUACUCAACCCAUAUAAGGCAAGCAUUAACUGUGAAUGUAAAAAUAAUCAAUGACAAGCAUUAAUUGUGAAUUUAAAAAGGAUUUAAUAUAUAUAUUGGUAGUGUAAGUGUUCCUUACACCAUCAACAAAUCAUUCACCAUUUAUAUUUAACAUUUGUUGACUCUUAAAUAAAAAUAAUAUAAAUCAAUAAUAAAUAAUAUAUUGACAGUAUAAAAAAUUUACACGUGAAUGAAUUUUAAACUCAAUUAAUAAUAAUCAACCCAUAUUUCACAAUAUUAUAUUCAUUCCAAAUGAAUCUCCUCAAUAUUUUGACAUGUAUCGACCUCAUUAGCUUAUGGAUUUUAUAAAAUGAUUUAUAAUUGAAAAGGUUGAAAUGAUAAUUAAAAGAGUAAAAUACUUUGAUAGAAAUUCCAAAACUAUACAUAAUCCAUCCAAAAAAUUAAAUCCAUUUAAAUUUAUUCAUUAGAGCUAAUAAAUUUAAAUGAAUAUAAUUCAAUGAAUAAUCUUAGUAAUUGAUGAACUUGAAUUCAUCUAAUAGAUAUCUAUGAACGUAUCUAUUUAUAUGGAUAUUCAAUCUAUCCAAAAAACAAAUAUUAUAAACAAUGGUCUUUGUUUUUCAAUUUUAUUUAUUAUCUCAACUUUCAUUUUCUUGUGGUGUUUCUCAUUCUCACUUUAAUUUUUUUUAUUAAAAUGAGAUCAAUUAUAAACAUGUAGAUGUACUUAAUAUUAAAAGUUUGUUCAUAAAUAUAUAACGUAUGUAAAUAUUUAUUUAAAAUUUCACAUAUAAAAUUUUAAAUGUUGUAUGUUGGUAGAAUAUUGAAAAAUAAUAAUUUUUUUGAAAGUUCAAAAAUUUAUUUUAAAAAAAAGUUGUUCUUAAACAAAUUAGGAAACACUUUAAAAAAUAUGGUUUUGAAAAGUGAUUUAAACAAAUAUAUUUUUUGAAAAUACUAUGUACUAGCCAAAUAGGUAAGUGAAAUUUCUAUUUGGAAAUAACUUAAUCUCACCUUUGUGUGGAUUGGGUAAUUGCAAAAAUAGAACAUUGAGAAUGAAUAUUUAGAAUACAGUUAUAAGGAACAAUGGAAAUAAAAAUGAGAAAAUAUAUGGUUGGACCAAAGAGAAACUUGGGUGUUUUGAAAUUUUAAUUCUUACACAUUUAAUUUCUUUAUAGCAAAAUGCAUCGGAUGGUUAAUAGUUGAGAUUUAAAAUCCUUAAUAGAAUUAAAAUCUAUACAGAAUUAUAAAGUAAAAUAUAGGUAGGGUGUAAAAGUUCUGAUCAAUUCAUGUAAUUCAAUGGUCUAAUGAAACAAAGAGACAUAAACCAAUUCACCUCAAUUAACAUAAAUUUUAUUAUAGGAACCGAACUAAAUCAUUUCUGAAUAGUUUGGUUUGGAUAUGUGAUUUCCUACUUAUUAUAUAUAUAUAUAUAUAUAUAAAUAAAUAAAGAUCUAUUUAUACUUAAGUUAAGUUACACUAAUUACAUUUAAUUUCAAUCAUUUAUUUUCUUAAAUAUAACGGACCAAAUGGUGAGUGAAAUAUGUGAUGAGAGAGAAAAAGAGAAGUCUUAAAUAACUUUUAAGUUUCACUCAUUUGCUCGAUUGAUAUAAGAAAAUGAAUUACUGAAAUUAAGUAUAACUAGAGUAAUUUAACUUAAAUGUAAACGAAUCUAUCAUCACAUAUAUAUAUAUAUAUAUAUAUAUAUGGUUUGCUAUCACGAGUCCACUUUUUUUUUUUAUGACGAAGGAGGAUUUUAACAAUGUGUUCUCCAAUAUUUGAACACAAAUAUUCUUACUUUCUUUGUAAAAAAUAAGUCUCACAUCAAGGUUAUUUUAUAAAAUAAACUUAACCUCUCAUCGAAACCCAAAUCCUUACAAUGCAACUCAUUCAAUAAUUCCUCUCUGAGAACUCUUGGCCUUCACACCCCUUCUAGCCACCGCCUGAAGUCGUCACUGUACCCACCUUCACGUCAUCUCCGACCAACAUCCAAGAAGAGAAGCCGCCCCAAAACAUAAACACUGAUCUUAAGCUUGUAAAUAGCUUGUACAUCAUUCAUAGCUUGCUUAGGCAUUGUUUGGUUUUCAGUUUAGCUAUCCUCAUUGAGGGAUAAAUUAGCUUAUUAUUAUUUUCCUUUAUAGCAAUCUGUUAGGGAAGUUAUUUAUCUGUUUACCAUAAAUAGUAAGUGGUUAUUCUUUGUAUGCAAGAAAUUCAAUUCAAUGAGAAUGAAUUCAUACAAUUCAAAUCUCUUCUCCAAGGAUUCUAAGAUGGUAUUAGAGCAAAUUUUGCUUUGAUUCGUCUUCAUCAUCUUCUUCUUCUUCUUCUUCCUUCGUCUUCUCGCCAUCGCAAUUUCUCAAUUUCCUCUCAUUCUUCACUGAAUUCAUUCUUCGUUUUCUUCUUCUCAUACAAUGGCGAAUCAGAGCUUUGAUGAUUAUAUUGUGAAUCCUAUGAAUCCUUACUUCCUUCGUUCUAAUUAGAAUCCUACAUUAAUUCUGGUUUCUCCUCCUCUCAAUGGCAAGAACUAUCACUCCUGGUCCAGAUCUAUGAAACUAGCUCUUCAAUUCAAAAACAAGCUAAAGUUCAAAGAUAGGUCACUAGUUCAACCACCACCAUCGUCUUCAUGAACAAUGGAUUCGGUGCAAUACUAUGGUCUUAUCCUGGUUACAACACUCUGUUGAUGAAACAAUUGUGAAAUCCAUUCUCUGGAUUGAUGAAGCAGCUGAUGCAUGGAAGGAUCUCCAUGAUAGGUAUUCACAAGGAGAUGUGUUUCGUAUAGCUCAACUUCAGGAAGAAUUCUACAGAAUGACUCAAGGUGAUCAAUCUAUUUCUGAUUAUUUCACUGAAUUGAAGAUUCCAUGGGAGGAAAUUGAAAAUUAUAGAGCUAUAGAUUACUGUAAAUGUGUGAAUCCUUGUGAUUGGAGUUAUUGAUCUGGUUAAAAUGCAUAGGGAACAAGAUUAUGUGAUAAGAUUCCUUAAAUGCUUGAAUGAUCAAUUUUCACAAGUUAGGUCUCAUAUUAUGUUGUUAGAGCCUCUUCCUAACAACAGCAAAGUAUUUUCAAUGGUGAUACAACAAGAAAGACAGUUCAAUGUACCAAUUCUCUCUGAUUUGAAGGCCUUAACUGUUAUCUCUCAAGGAAAUUCUCAAUUUCCGUCCUUCAAUGGAAAUAGAGGCAGGGGAAGUAAUUAUUUUAGAGGAAUAGGUAGAAUGCCUUACAAUAAUGUAGGUAAAGGAAAUAAUGCUAGGUUUUGCACUUACUGUGAGAGAACUAACUACACAGUGGAUACAUGCUUUCUAAAACAUGGUUAUCCACCUGGUUAUUAUUACAAUAGAUUAGGAAGACAAGCAAAUUCUACCACUACCUUUCCUACAGAGAUUGCACAUGGACAUGAUGGUUCAUAUCAUCAGACUGAGGAGUUUUUUGUUGCUAGUAAGGGAAACCAAAGGCAAGCUUUUACUGAUGAUCAAGUAAAAUCUAUCUUAGAGUUACUUGAUAGGAGCAAAAAUGAUGCUAGCAAGGUCAAUUCUGUGAUCUCUAAUAAUCCGACAACAAACAACACCACUGCAUUACCUUCAGCUACAGGUAACAAAUGUGUAGAUUGGUUAAUUGAUAUUGGUGCCACUAAUCAUAUAGCUUAUGAUCUACAUAGCUUUAGCACACAUAAAUGCAUUUCACCUGUCAUGAUUACUCUGCCUAAUGGAAGUAGAGUUAGCACAUCUAUCUGUGGCACUGUCAUUUUGUAUGAAUCUCUUAUCAUGUUUAAUGUCUUGUAUGUUCCCAACUUCCAUGUCAAUCUAGUGUCUGUCCAAAAGUUGAUCCAGUCCUUACAUUGUCAUCUAACCUUCCAUCUCAACUCUUGUACCAUUGUGCAGAGUACUACCAAUAAGGUGAUUGGUACAGCUAGCUUGAAACAAGGCAUGUUUGUCAUAGAUCUCUCACACAAGACAUCUCCCUCAGUCUCUGUCUCUCAUUCCUCCAUUAGUCCACCCAAUGAGUUUACUCUCUGGCAUCUCAGACUUGGUCAUGCUCCAAUAUCUCUAAUGAAGACUUUGUUUAGCUGAUUUUCUUUUAUUCCAAUUUGUAAUAGAAAACUUGUACCUUGUGAUAUUUGUCAUACUUCUAGACAAAGAAGAUUGCCUUUCUGUAAUAGCAAUACAAUUUCUAAUGAAGUGUUUCAGUUGUUGGAUGCUGAUAUAUGGGGCUCUUAUUCCACUACUUAUGUUCUUGGUCACAACUAUUUCCUUACUUUGGUUGAUGAUUUUACAAGAUUUACUUAGGUAAUCCUAAUGAAACACAAGAGUGAAACUAGGCAGCAUCUUAUAACCUUUGUCAAUCUCAUUGAAAAACAAUUUAAUACUCAUUGACAAACCAUUAGAAGUGACAAUGGGGCUGAACUUUUGAUGAAUGAUUUCUUCUCUUCUAAAGGAAUCAUGCAUCAAAGAUCAUGUGUUGUCACACCUCAGCAAAAUGGUGUGGUGGAAAGAAAGCACUAACACAUUCUCAAUGUGGCUAGAGCCAUUUUUUUCCAACCACAUUUACCCUCUACCCUUUGGAAUUUUUCUAUCCAAUAUGUUGUCCACAUUAAUUAAUCGAUUGCCCAACCCUCUAUUAAAAAAUUCGAGUCCAUAUCAUUUACUCCAUGGGUCUCUACCUAGUUUAGAGUCAUUGAAGACUUUUGGUUGUUUGGCUUAUGCUAGCACUCUUGCUGUAGGGAGGAGCAAACUAGAUCGAAGGGCUAGAAAAUGCAUGUUUCUAGGAUAUAAAGAGGGGACUAAGGGGUACAUUCUCUAUGAUAUAUCUUCUCAUGACAUUUUAUUAUCUAGGGAUGUUAUAUUCUAUGAACAUUUCUUUUCUAUGUCUCCAUCUAGUCACUCAUCACCAACACAUGAGUCAUCUUCUUCCACUAUUCCUCUACUCUCUAGUGAAUCUUCUCCUGAGUCAUACACAUUUCCUCCUUUUGAGUCAAACACAACUCCUCUGGUUGAGUCUCCCAUAUCUUCUCAGACUCAUACAUCUCUUCUCGAGUCCCACACAACUCCUCAUUCUGUUCUUUCUCCUAGACAAUCCUCUAGAUAGAGAAGAUCUCCUACCUAUUUGCAAGAUUAUCAUUGUUCUCUUGCUCAUAGUUUUGUCAACACUACUUCUUCUUCUUCUCAAGUUCUUUAUCCUUUAUCCUCUCUUCUAGACUAUUCCAAGUGUUCCCCCAUAUAUAAGAAAUUUUGUCUUACGAUGUCUAGUGCCCUUGAUCCUACCACUUAUAAACAAGCUGUUAAGUUGGAUCAUUGGAGAAAGGCUAUGGAUUCUGAGUUGCUAGCCUUAAGUCAGAAUAAUACUUGGUCACUGGUUUCCCUUCCUCCUGAAAAGGUUGCUAUAGGCUGCAAAUGGGUGUAUAAAAUUAAGGUUCAUGUUGAUGGUUCCCUUGAGAGAUACAAAGCCAGGUUGGUUGCCAAGGGUUACACUCAAUUAGAAGGUGUGGAUUUCUUUCAUACCUUCUCUCAUGUGGUGAAAAUCACCACUGUCAGAACUGUCUUAGCUUUGGCAGCCAUCAAGUCUUGGCACUUGGAAUGUAAACUCUGUAAGUCUCUUUAUGAAUUAAAGCAAGCUAGUCGAGAGUGGCACACUACUUUAUCUUCUGCCUUAAUCUCUUUGGGUUACUCACAAUCACAAGCUGAUCAGGCCCUCUUUACCAAGUUUAGCUCCUCCUCUUUCACUGCUAUCUUGGUGUAUGUGGAUGACAUGGUCUUAGCUGGAGAUAAUCUUGUUGAAAUCCAGCAAGUUAAACAGUUUCUUGAUCAGGCUUUUAAGAUCAAGGAUCUAGGAACACUCAUGUUAUUUUUAGGUCUUGAAAUUGCUCGAAGACCAUAUGGUAUUCACCUAAAUCGGAGAAAGUAUGUUUUGACACUUCUUGAGGAUUCAGGUUGCUUGGCUGCCAAGCCUUUUAAGAUUCUUUUUUAUCCUUCUCUAAAACUACAACUUGAACAAGGUGAGCCAUUUUCUGAUGUUCUUAGCUACAGAAGGCUUGUAGGUAGGCUGAUAUACCUCACCAUUUCCAGACCUGAUUUGGCAUAUGUAGUUCAGCAACUCAACCUUUUUAUGUUUAAGCUUAUGGUUGUACACUAUAAGGCAACCCUCAAGGUCCUUCACUAUUUGAAGUCUUCCCCUGCUCAAGGCUUGUUUUUCUCUUCCACAUCUGCUCUUAAACUUUCUGGUUUCUCUGAUUCGGAUUGGGCAUGUUGCCUGGAUACCAGAAAAUUCAUCACAUGUUUUUGCAUCUUUCUUGGAUCAUCUCUCAUUUCUUGGAAGUCCAAGAAGCAGAACACAGUCAGCAUGUCUUCUUCUGAGGCAGAGUAUAUGGCUUUGGGUAGUCUUGUUUGUGAAGUGCAGUGGCUCAACUAUUUGUUCACUGAUCUGCACUUCCCUCUCUUGAAACCUGCCUCUGUUUAUUGUGAUAACAGGUUUGCCAUCUACUUGGCACCCAACCCUGUUUUCCAUGAAAGAUCCAAACAUAUCGAAGUGGAUUGCCAUGUUGUAAGGGAGAAGAUCCAACAUGGCAUCAUCGAUCUUCUUCCCAUUGCUUCCUUUGAUUAGUUAGUUGAUGCCUUUACCAAGCCAUUGCCCUCUACUUCUUUUCGCUCCUUCAUUUCCAAGUUGGGUUUGUGUUCUCUCCACUCCCCAACUUGAGGGGGGCUCUUAAGCUUGUAAAUAGCUUGUACAUCAUUCAUAGCUUGCUUAGGCAUUGUUUGGUUUUCAGUUUAGCUAUCCUCAUUGAGGGAUAGAUUAACUUAUUAUUAUUUCCCUUUAUAGCAGUUUGUUAGAGGAGUUAUUUAACUGUUUACUAUAAAUAGUAAGUGGUUAUUCUUUGUAUGCAAGAAAUUCAAUUCAAUGAUAAAGAAUUCAUACAAUUCAAAUCUCUUCUCCAAGGAUUCUAAGAACUGAUACAAUUAAUUUUAGACUUCUAUAUAAUGUUUUUCCAUAUCUCAAUCUGAUUUGUCUUUCAAGACACAAUUAGAAGCAUCUUGGGAGGAUGAAUAAAAAGUUUGAAGGUGAAGGCAAUGAACAAGAAUAUGUAAAAAUUGAAAAUUAUUAUACCAUGAACUUUGGCAAUAAUUCUUUGUUUUUGGGUCUAUUUGGACUAUUCAUAUUAAAGGGUUAUGUUUGUUAAAACCAAAGCCUCCUUAAUCACCUUGCUGCAUAAACAAUGCACACAAUCACUCCUUGCUGCAGUAGCAAACGAGGCAAUGGAAUUGAGAGAAGAAGAGAAAAGAAGAGUAUAUGGAGAAGAAGAAGAGUAUAUCAAUGAAUGACCUCUUGUAUUGAAAAUGAAUCUUUACAUAACAACACAAUACACUUGAAAACAAAGUUUAACAACUACUUCUAUUUAUAGUAGUUUCCCAACCUACUUAACUAACCAAAGUUUCUAUAUAAGGAAACUAUGCUAAUUACACAAUAAAGGCUAAUCUUACAUUUCCUCUAAUACUCCUCCUUAAUUUCAGCCUUCAUUCAAUGGUCUUCACUCCAAUUUGCCAUAUGAGAUUCACAAACCUCUCUUUCUUCAAAGCCUUGGUGAAUAUGUCAGCUUGUUGAUUUUCAGUGUUGCAAAACUCAAGCUUUAUUCUUCUCUUAUCCACUUGAUCCCUUAAGUAAUGGAAUCUGGUUUUAAUGUGCUUACUCCUUCCAUGAGCAACAUGAUUUAAGGCAAGAUUAAUGGCUGACUUGUUGUCAACCAUCAUAAGAAUACCAUCAUCUUCUUCGAGCAAGCCAAGUUCUUCCAUUAAAGUACUCAUCCAAGCUGCAUGUCGUGCACACAUAGAAGCAGCUAUGUAUUCACUUUCACAAGAAGAUAAGGCUACAACAUCUUGUUUCUUAGAGCACCAACUAAUAGGAGCUUCCCCUAGCUUGAACAAGUAACAUGUGGUACUCUUCCUAUCAGAUUUAUCACCACACCAAUAUGCAUCAGAGAAGCCAAGCAAAUCCAGCUUGCAAUUGAUGUUCUGUUUAGAAGGAAACAUGAUUCCUAGGCCAAGAGUUCCUCUGAGAUACCUCAACACUCUCUUCACAGCAACCAGAUGAGAUUGGAGAGGGUUCUCCAUGAAUCUUCUUGCUACACCUACUCCAUAAGCAAUGUCAGGUCUUGUAUUGCAUAUGUACCUUAAAGUGCAUAUCAUCUGUCUAAACAGAGUUUUAUCAACCAAUUUCUCCUCCUCAAUUUGAGAGUUCAGAGAGUUUGCUUCUGCUGGUGUGUGUGAGAUAUUGCAAUCUGCCAUGUGAAACCUUUUUAAUACAUCAGUUAUGUAUUUGCUUUGAUGCAUCACUAUACCAAGCUUUGUCUUCUUAAACUCAAUGCCUAGGAAGUAUGCCAACUCUCCAAGAUCUGUCAUUUCAAACUCAGACUGCAUUUGUUGUUUGAAAGUUGCAAUUUGAUCAGAGUUUGAACAAGUUAUUAGCAGGUCAUCCACAUAGAGGCAAACAAUUAGUGAUUCUACUUUGUUCUUGCUUUUCACAUAGACUCCAUGCUCAGAGGUGCAUUUUAGGAAACCAAUCUGUUUCAAAAAUGCAUCUAUCCUCUUGUUCCAUGCUCUUGGAGCUUGCUUCAAUCCAUACAAGGCCUUAUGCAACUUGUAAACCAGAUUUUCUCUGCCUUUUUCUGCAAAACCAGGAGAUUGAGUCACAAAUACAUCUUUCUCUAAGGGACCAUUCAAAAAAGCAGACUUUACAUCCAUUUGAUAGAUUUCCCAUCUGUUAUAACUAGCCACAGCAACCACUAGCCUCACUGUUUCUAGUCUUGCCACUAGUGCAAAGACUUCAUCAUAAUCCAGCCCUUGUUUCUGCAAGAAACCUUUGGCAACCAACCUUGCUUUAUACUUGGUUACUACCCCUUCUGGAUUUACUUUUGUUUUGUAUAUCCACUUGACUUUGAUAGCUCUUUUUCCCUUUGGUAACUCAACCAAGCUCCAAGUAUUGUUUCUGUUGAUUGAGUUUAGCUCUUCAUUCAUUGCCUCAAUCCAGUUUGGUUGCUUUAAUGCUUCUUCUAUGCUCACUGGUUCCUGUUCAGCCAAAAGAGCCAUGUGAACAAGAUCUCCCUCUUCAGUGAUGUUUGAAUCAUGAAACACCUCAUAGUCACUGAACCUUGAUGGUGGUUGUCUGUGUCUCUGUGAUGUAUUGUGAUUAAUUGUUGGUGCAGCCAUAGGAUUAACAACUUCUGCUUCUUUUUCACAUUCAUCAAUUUCCAGAUGUGUAUCUCUGCUCUUUUCUGUGCUAGUGUUCCAAUUCCAAUUUGGAACAUAUAGCACAUUGGAGAUGUAUGCCUUCUUUCCAUCUUUUCUUUGUAUCACUAUUUGUCCAAUACCUUAUGCUGAGACUGCACUGUUAUCAGCAAAUUUGACUUUGCUUUUUGUAGUUUCAUCAAGAGAGGUGAACCAUUCUUUCUUUCCAGUCAUAUGGUUUGAACAUCUUAAAGUGACUCACACUAGGCUUGAGUCCACUCCAAGCUUCUUCUGGUGUUUUUCCAUCUAAUAUUUUGGUUAGACAUCUAUUGAGUAUGUGCACAGUAGUAGAUACAGCCUCUCCCCAAAAUGCCUUUGGAAGAUUUUUGGUUUUCAGCAUACAUCUAGCCAUGUUGAGUAUGGUUCUAUUUGCUCUUUCUGCUGCACCAUUGUGCUGUGGUGUGUAUGGUGCUAUAAUUUCAUGUACUAUGCCUUCUGUUGUGCAAAACUCAUGAAACUUUGUUGACACAUACUCACCUCCACCAUCAGACCUCAACUUCUUCAGUUUGGUUUCACUCUGAUUUUCUGCUUGAGCCUUGAAUCUUUUGAAUAUCUCAAACACUUCAUCCUUAUUCUUCAUAAGGUAGAUCCAGAGUUUUCUGGUGUAAUCAUNNNNNNNNNNNNNNNNNNNNNNNNNNNNNNNNNNNNNNNNNNNNNNNNNNNNNNNNNNNNNNNNNNNNNNNNNNNNNNNNNNNNNNNNNNNNNNNNNNNNCACUGUUAUCAGCAAAUUUGACUUUGCUUUUUGUAGUUUCAUCAAGAGAAGUGAACCAUUCUUUCUUUCCAGUCAUAUGGUUUGAACAACCUGUGUCCAAGUACCACACAUCAGAAUCUUCAUUCGAAUUCAUGACUGUUGCCAUCAGAAGAUAGUGUUCUUCACCAUCUAACUCGUCACCUUGUGCCAACUUGACCUCUUCAUCUUUCUUAUUUGAUCCUCUGUUCACUCUGCAUUCAGCAGCAUAAUGCCCAUAGUUCCUGUAGUUGUAACAUUGCACUUUGCUCUUGUCACCUCUUUUCCUAGUCAUGAGAUUUUUGUUUGAAUUUUUCUUGUGAUCAUAGGAAUUGUUUGCAGAGUUAAGUUGUUUUUGUGAUGAUGAUGCUGAACCUUCUUCACCCCUUGAGCCUAGGCAGUUUCUACACUUCUCAUUCUGCCAUUUGUCUUUGCUUCUUCUGUUCUUAUUCCACUGGCCAACAAAUUUCUUGGAUUGUUGAGCUUGUAGUGCAUGAUCUUCAUUGGUAUCUCCAUGCCUCUCUUUCAAUCUCUGUUCAUGAGCUUCAAGAGAGCUUUGCAAUUCCUCCAAUUUGUAAUUGUCAAGGUCUUUGGACUCUUCUAUGGCCACAAUUAUGUGAUCAAAUUUAGGAGUUAGAGUCCUUAGUACCUUUUCAAUCACUGAUUUCACUUUGAAUACUUUGCCACAAGCCUUCAUCUGGUUAGUUAAUGUGAGAAUCUUGGCAAGGUAUGUUGAUAUGCUUUCAUUCUCUUCCAUCUGAAGUAGUUCAUACCUUCUUCUCAAGGUUUGCAGCUUCACUUUCUUGAUUUUAUCAGCCCCUUCAUGACUUUUCUCCAAGCUAUCCCAGNNNNNNNNNNNNNNNNNNNNNNNNNNNNNNNNNNNNNNNNNNNNNNNNNNNNNNNNNNNNNNNNNNNNNNNNNNNNNNNNNNNNNNNNNNNNNNNNNNNNCUGAGACUGCACUGUUAUCAGCAAACUUGACUUUGCUUUUUGUAGUUUCAUCAAGGGAAGUGAACCACUCUUUCUUUCCUGUCAUAUGGUUUGAACAACCAGUGUCCAAGUACCACACAUCAGAGUCUUCAUUCGAGUUCAUGACUGUUGCUAUUAGAAGAUAUUGUUCUUCACCAUCUACCUCAUCACCUUGUGCCAACUUGACCUCUUCAUCUUUCUUAUUUGAUCCUCUGUUCACUCUGCAUUCAGCAGCAUAAUGCCCAUAGUUCCUGUAGUUGUAACAUUGCACUUUGCUCUUGUCACCUCUUUUCCUAGUCAUGAGAUUUUUGUUUGAAUUUUUCUUGUGAUCAUAGGAAUUGUUUGCAGAGUUAAGUUGUUUUUGUGAUGAUGAUGCUGAACCUUCUUCACCCCUUGAGCCUAGGCAGUUUCUACACUUCUCAUUCUGCCAUUUGUCUUUGCUUCUUCUGUUCUUAUUCCACUGGCCAACAAAUUUCUUGGAUUGUUGAGCUUGUAGAGCAUGAUCUUCAUUGGUAUCUCCAUGCCUCUCUUUCAAUCUCUGUUCAUGAGCUUCAAGAGAGCUUUGCAAUUCCUCCAAUUUGUAAUUGUCAAGAUCUUUGGACUCUUCUAUGGCCACAAUUAUGUGAUCAAAUUUAGGUGUUAGAGUCCUUAGUACCUUUUCAAUCACUGAUUUCACUUUGACUACUUUGACCACAAGCCUUCAUCUGAUUAGUUAAUGUCAGAAUCUUGGCAAGGUAUGCUGAUAUGCUUUCAUUCUCUUCCAUCUGAAGUAGUUCAUACCUUCUUCUCAAGGUUUGCAGCUUCACUUUCUUGAUUUUAUCAGCCCCUUCAUGACUUUUCUCCAAGCUAUCCCAGGCUUCUUUUGUUGUCUUGGCACCAGCAAUCUUCUCAAAGUUAACUCCAUCAACACAUUGAUGGAGUAGGAACAAGGCUUUACAAUCCUUCUUCAUUGCUUCCCUAUGGAGUGUUCUUUGAGCUUCACUUGCAUUGUCUCCUAAUUCUUGAAGUCCAUUCUGCACUACUUCACUCACUUCUUGGAAUCGAAAGAUGGUGUGCAUUUGUAUCCUCCAUCUGUCAUAAUUCUUAGAGUCUAGGAUUGGUAAUGUCAUGGAGAAUCCAUUGCUGUUUGCCAUCUCCACUCCUUCUUGCAGAGUAACAAGCUUGCUCUUUCACUGCCUUCUUUCUCGAUCUUCUUGAACAAGAAUCACACAGAAUCUUGCUCCUCCUAGCUCUUGAUACCACUGUUAAAACCAAAGCCUCCUUAAUCACCUUGCUGCAUAAACAAUGCACACAAUCACUCCUUGCUGCAGUAGCAAACGAGGCAAUGGAAUUGAGAGAAGAAGAGAAAAGAAGAGUAUAUGGAGAAGAAGAAGAGUAUAUCAAUGAAUGACCUCUUGUAUUGAAAAUGAAUCUUUACAUAACAACACAAUACACUUGAAAACAAAGUUUAACAACUACUUCUAUUUAUAGUAGUUUCCCAACCUACUUAACUAACCAAAGUUUCUAUAUAAGGAAACUAUGCUAAUUAUACAAUAAAGGCUAGAAUUACAUUUCCUCUAAUAAUGUUUAAAAUGGAAAAAAACUUAAUUUGCAUUCAACUCUAGUUUUGGUCAAAGGGAGAUAUGGUUUAAGUUUUUUUAAAAGGAUAGAGGGAGGUUGGUUUCUAUAAUUGAUAUAUUACAUUUUUUAAUAUAUUUAGCAAUGUUGCGACCAUGAUGUAAAACUCGUUCGUAGAUGCUGUGAUGGCAACGACAUCCUCACCUUGGCCGCGACUUGGUGGGGAUGUGGCGGCUGAGAAUUGUAGAAGAUGACUUAUUUGAUUGAUUGCAGUAAAUAGGUUUUAGGGUCUCCAAAAAAAAGUGUAUGCACUCUAGGUAACACUUCCUCUAAUUGAUUGAUUGAAAAACAUAUAUUUAAAUUUAAAAUUUAAUAAUAAAUUAAUUUUCUGACCAAUCAAAAAAAUAGCACGUGAAGCGACACCUUUUUUGUGACAGAAGAUGCAUCCCCUAAGUUCAAAUGUUAGGAAUUGAAACCAUAAAAAAUUUGUUAUUUUUAAAGUGAAUUUACUAAAAUAACCUUUACAGUUGGCUUACUUUAGCAAAAAUGUAAGGAUAUUUGUGUCCAAAUAUUUGGGAAUUCAUUGCUGAAAUGGUCCUUCAUGCAAAAGGAUAGACUCAUGUUAUAUAUAUAUAUAUUCAAUGCUCUUAAUACAAUUUAUAUUUAUAUAACUAUUCAAUGCUCUUAAUACAAUUAGGAUCACAGUACAAUGAAGCUUAAAACAUGUAGCAUUUGAGCUUAUCGCACCAUCAAGCAAUUAUUAUACCAAUAGCAUUGGCAGUAUUUCAGCUAUCAGUUUUAUUAUCAACCACCCGAGGGACUGCAUUGAUGUUAACCAUGGAUUGGAGCCUGGCACCAACUAAAUGAUUAUAGAGAUAGAAUGAACGAGCAAGGGUUUGGAAAAUAUAGUUUAAGGUUGACAUUCUGAAAUUUUG
rnacentral:lncRNA from 1 species